GCCUUCGUGGUGUAGUGGUCAACACGCUGGGGCUAUAUUUCAGAGGUCCAUGGUUCGAGUCCCGGCAUAGGCG
rnacentral:tRNA from 1 species